rnacentral:rRNA from 1 species
GAUGAACGCUGGCGGCGUGCCUAAUACAUGCAAGUCGAGCGAACAGACGAGGAGCUUGCUCCUCUGACGUUAGCGGCGGACGGGUGAGUAACACGUGGAUAACCUCCCUAUAAGACUGGGAUAACUUCGGGAAACCGGAGCUAAUACCGGAUAAUAUAUUGAACCGCAUGGUUCAAUAGUGAAAGACGGUUUUGCUGUCACUUAUAGAUGGAUCCGCGCCGCAUUAGCUAGUUGGUAAGGUAACGGCUUACCAAGGCAACGAUGCGUAGCCGACCUGAGAGGGGGAUCGGCCACACGGGAACUGAGACACGGUCCAGACUCCUACGGGAGGCAGCAAUAGGGAAUCGUCCGCAAUGGGCGAAAGCCUGACGGAGCAACGCCGCGUGAGUGAUGAAGGUCUUCGGAUCGUAAAACUCUGUUAUUAGGGAAGAACAAAUGUGUAAGUAACUAUGCACGUCUUGACGGUACCUAAUCAGAAAGCCACGGCUAACUACGUG